AAAUCAAAUAAGUCACGUAGAAGGUCAUAGAAUAGAUUUAAUUGUAAUU
rnacentral:guide_RNA from 1 species